GACGUAGGGCGCGAGCGUUGUCCGGAUUUAUUGGGCGUAAAGAGCUCGUAGGCGGCUUGUCGCGUCGUCCGUGAAAACCAGGGGCUCAACCCCUGGCUUGCGGUCGAUACGGGCAGGCUAGAGUUCGGUAGGGGAGACUGGAAUUCCCGGUGUAGUGGUGAAAUGCGUAGAUAUCGGGAGGAACACCGGUGGCGAAGGCGACUACCUGGCCUGUUUCUUGACGCUGAGGCGCGAAAGCUAGGGGAGCAAACGGG
rnacentral:rRNA from 1 species